GGGCCCGUAGCUCAAUGGUUAGAGCAGGCGACUCAUAAUCGCUUGGUUACCGGUUCAAAUCCGGUCGGGCCCACCA
rnacentral:tRNA from 1 species